AUCAAGGAAGAAAAUAAACUCCACCACCAGCACCCAAAGCUGACAUUCUAAUUAAACUAUUCCUUG
rnacentral:tRNA from 1 species